AGAAGCUUGACAAGAGGCAUGGAGCAGAUGCUUCCUCACAGCCCUCAGAAGGAACCAACCCGCCAACCCCUUGAUCUCAGAUUUCUGGCCUCCAGAACCGCGAGACAGCAGAUUUCCAUGGCUUGAGCCGCCCGGUUUGUAGUACUUCAUUAUGGCAGCUCCAGCAAACAAAUACAGAUUUAUGACCUCGUCUACCCGACGAGGAUGCCUGGCCCAAGCUGGCAUACUAAGAGUUUUCCUGGAACUUGGGAACUGGGACAAAGAGGGACUAAGCCAGCAAGACCGAAAAGCAUGGCAGUCCCAGGACAGCCAUGAAAACCAUAUGUGAAUUAAUGAGUGAGCAGAUUGGAGCAGCAUUGUUUUGGACCCUAAGGACGUCACGUACAAAAUGCACUUAAAUCCUUGCCUCCUGGAGCUGAUGAUAAAGAAGAUGGACAAGUAAAACAUAUGGAAUGUGAAAUGGUGAUAAGAGUGAUGGAGAAAAUAAAACAGGAGAGGAGGUUGGAAUUGCCAGGUUACGACACAGCAAGAAGGCCCUCGCCAGAUGCAUCUCCUCCAUGUUGGACUUCCCAGCCUCCAGAUCCCUGAGCCAGAUAAAUUUCUAUGAUUUGCUCACUCUUUUGGAAAAUCACAUCAUUGACUGCCACACCACUCAUGGCUUCAGAUUCAGCUUCUGUUUCCUGAGUGCCUCCACUAUACCAGCCAUUGGGCCAGGCAUCCAGAAGCCCUAAGGUAGACCUCAUCAUCCCUGUUCUACAGGAGAGGAAAACCAAGACUUGGCUACUACAGUAUACAAAGGGUGUGGAAAAGUCCUCCUAGAACCCUUACCCUGCUUCCAGGAGGAGCUGGACAGUUCUUUCCAAGUCCAGGCAGAAAGAAGUCUCCUCUUUUUCCAUUCUCUUUGUUACUUUAUAUGUCUGUGCAGGCUUGGUUGAGGAAGAAGGGGGGCCAGAAGGAAGUCUGGCCAGAUGGCAGGGUAAUAAAUGACUCUGACUUAA
rnacentral:lncRNA from 1 species